UUGUGCUAAGGWAGCAUAAUCAUUUGUYUUUUAAUUAAAGACUAGAACAAAAGAUUUAACAUUUAAAUUUAUUUAUUUAACUUAAAAAUUAAAAUUUUCCUAAAUGUAAAAAGACAUUUCUAAAAUAGAAAGACGACAAGACCCUAUUAAACUUAACUUAAGUUAAACUGGGGUAGUUAAUUAAUUAUUAUUUUAAUUUUAGUUUAUCAAAAAAAAUCUAAUAAAAUUAAAUAAUUCAGUUACUAUAGGGAUAACAGCGCAAUUAUUAUUUAAAGAUCAUAUAUUAAUAAUAGAUUACGACCUCGAUGUUGAAUUAAUUACCUAAUUAAARAAAAUUUUAAAAAAGGAAGUCUGUUCGACUUUUGAACAAUUACWUGAUUUGAGUUCAGACCGGUAUAAGCCAGGUCGGUUUCCAUCUUCUAAUUAUUUUAUUUACAGUACGAAAGGACCUAGAUAUAUUUUAUAUUUAUUUGGCAGAAAAAUGCAUUAGAAUUAGAAUCUAAUAAAACUAAU
rnacentral:rRNA from 1 species